rnacentral:rRNA from 1 species
CUUUUGACUAGGAUGCUGGCGUAAUGAUCUUAAGCCGCCCGUCUUGUAACACGGACCAAGGAGUCUAACAUCUACGCGAGUGUUCGGGUGUCAAACCCGUGCGCGAAGUGAAAGCGAACGGAGGUGGGAACCCUUUGGGUGCACCAUCGACCGAUCCUGAUGCCUUCGGAUGGAUUUGAGUAAGAG